GUUAACACAUCUACACAUCACUAAUAGGGUUAACACAUCUACACAUCACUAAUAGGGUUAACACAUCUACACAUCACUAAUAGGGUUAACACAUCUACACAUCACUAAUAGGGUUAACACAUCUACACAUCACUAAUAGGGUUAACACAUCUACACAUCACUAAUAGGGUUAACACAUCUACACAUCACUAAUAGGGUUAACACAUCUACACAUCACUAAUAGGGUUAACACAUCUACACAUCACUAAUAGGGUUAACACAUCUACACAUCACUAAUAGGGUUAACACAUCUACACAUCACUAAUAGGUUUAACACAUCUACACAUCACUAAUAGGGUUAACACAUCUACACAUCACUAAUAGGGUUAACACAUCUACACAUCACUAAUAGGGUUAACACAUCUACACAUCACUAAUAGGGUUAACACAUCUACACAUCACUAAUAGGGUUAACACAUCUACACAUCACUAAUAGGGUUAACACAUCUACACAUCACUAAUAGGGUUAACACAUCUACACAUCACUAAUAGGGUUAACACAUCUACACAUCACUAACAGGGUUAACACAUCUACACAUCACUAAUAGGGUUAACACAUCUACACAUCACUAAUAGGGUUAACACAUCUACACAUCACUAACACUGUAGGUUUCCUUCUUUAACAAGUCAAUCAAUACAUUGA